UUGUAACCCUCAGGAGUACUAUUCAAUACCCAAAAAUCGAUCUUUAUACACACAGUCACACACACACAUACAUAUAUUUAUGCAUUUAUAAUUUUAUAUAUACACAGAUUACACGAACCAGUGAAUCUGUACCAGCCGAUUCUGCUCCUCAGAUUCAAUUAGCAAUGACUGACGUCUUUGACGACUCCAAAGACAUCGAGAACCUCUACGAGUACGGCGAACGACUCAACGAAGCCAAAGACAAGUCCCAGCAUGUUGACGACUACGACAAAAUUAUCCAGGCGGCCAAAAGUAAGAGCAUUAAGGCCAGGCAGUUAGCUGCGCAGCUCAUUCCCAGGUUCUUCAAGUUCUUCCCGGGACUUUCAGACUCAGCAGUUGAUUCACAUCUCGAUUUGUGCGAAGCAGAGGAGCUCGGGGUCAGGGUACAGGCAAUUCGUGGACUCCCUCUUUUUUGCAAGGAUACUCCGGAGCAUCUUUCUAAAAUUGUAGACAUUCUUGCACAACUCCUUACAGCCGAAGAAAAUGUGGAGCGUGAUGCCGUGCAUAAAGCUCUUCUGUCCUUAUUGAGGCAGGAUGUGAAAGCUUCUUUGACAGCCCUAUUUAAGCACAUUGAGAGCGUUGAUGAACCGGGCACGGAUGAAAAUCUUCGUGAGAGGACCCUAAUCUUUAUUAAAGAUAAGGUUUUUCCUCUUAAAGCUGAGCUCUUGAAACCUCAGGAGGAAAUGGAAAGGCAUAUAACUAAUUUGAUAAAAAAAAGUUUGCAAGAUGUGACGGGAGCUGAAUUUAAAAUGUUUAUGGACUUCUUAAAAAGUUUGAAUAUAUUUGGAGAGAAAGCUCCUCCAGAGCGUGUGCAAGAGCUCAUUGAAAUUAUUGAAGGGCAAGCUGAUCUAAAUGCACAGUUCAAUGUUUCAGAUGGGGACCACAUUGAUAGAUUAAUAUCUUGCCUGUACAUGGCUCUUCCUUUUUUUGUGCGGGGUGCAUCCAAUAGCAAGUUUAUCAUCUAUUUGAACAAGCACAUUUUGCCUGUUUUUGAUAAGGUAAUAUCGCACCUACCAUAUCAAAUUCUUCCUGAAGAACGCAAAGUAGACUUGCUCAAAAACCUUGCAGAAAGUUCACCUUACACAAUUCCACAGGACUCACGACAAAUUCUCCCCCUUGUUGUUCAGCUCUUAAAGAAGUACAUGCCUCGGAGAAAAACUGGAGAAGAGAUGAACUUUACUUAUGUUGAGUGCUUGUUGUACACAUUUCACCAUUUGGCUCACAAGGCUCCAAAUGCCACUAAUAGUUUAUGUGGUUACAAGAUAGUGACUGGCCAACCAUCAGAUAGGCUUGGGGAGGAUUUCUCAGAGUAUUACAAAGAUUUCACUGAGAGGUUCAGAAUUUCAGGUACAAGUACAACUGGGGGGAAAGAAGUGGUCUCUUUGAUGCUCAUCUUUCUGUCUUCUUCAGGGGAUUUAAUAACAGACCUGUAUCUCUGCAACUCUAGAAACUACUCCUGAUUUUAGUCGAGACAUUUUGUUGAUACGGGGUAUUGAAACUACCACUCAGUUAACUUCGAUAAUUUGUUUAUUUGACUGAUUAUUUGGAACUUGGACACAUAUAAAAGGUGGGCUGACUUAGGGUGGAGGAGCAUUAUGGAUGUUUUCUUUGUCAGACUGUUAGCUGCACAAUUGCUAUUUCUCUGGGGAAGAAGGUAAAGCCACGAUGGUCUGGGAGGAGAGAGUUGAUAGUACCAGAGGCUCAUAUCUGCUAAAAGAAAAUAAGCCUUGGGUGGACUGUGGACCCAAAAUUAAAAGUCAUGUAGUUUUGAUUGGUGGAUAGUUUUCUCCGACUUUACACAAGGUUGCAUCAGCAUGGUAACCUUGCUCUUUAUUUACUGCAUUUUGUCAAUUCUCUUGGCUAUUGGAGCAUUUGCUUUCAGUUUGGAAGAUGUUGAUGUCAAAACUGUGGGACUGGCGAUUCGUAGUACAUUACAACCUAGAAAAGCCUUCUUUACCGACUACCAGUGUGCUCAGUUGAAAAGAUCCUCUCUUGCCAUUCAACUCUAUCUUGUCGGUAUGAAAUCAAAGUUAUCAUGUUUUCCUCCUGUUAUGACAAACAUUUUUUAUGGCCUUCCUUUGAUUUUGUGGUGCCUUUGAAUUGAAUUAAUCACCUUUUUCUAUAUUCCACUUCCAGAUUUACAAUUUUCAUUAUUAUUGCUUCACUUCUUUCUUCAUCCCUUUGUUGGAUCCUGUAUCCCUUAUUCUCCUUGCCCCACUAUGCAUCCAUCGCCAAAAAAAUUUCUAUUAUUGUUUUCCUUCCCUGAUGUAUAUUUUCGCAGUGUCAUAUGUUGUUUCAUCAUGGAUGUGCAGUAAUCUCUGAAAGGGCAACAUCAACUUGAUGGUCUCCUAUGUGAUUUUACUUGGGAAAGUCUCAAAAGCCCUAGUGCUUGACACCAGUUUUAGUGAUGACUAUAUAGGGAUGGCAAUGAGGAUUUUUAGUUUGGUGUCAUGGCCUGAGAUGCCUCUACUGAGACAGUUCUGGGUGACCAUUAAUUGGACUAGUGUUAGGUUGGGAGAAGAUCAUAGACCUGAUCUGGGUUUGGUUUAGUACUGUUUCCAUGGUUUCCAGCUGCAAACCUACCCCAGUACUAGCUAUUAUUGAGAAUCCUGGCCCCCUUUUAUAAUUUUUGGCUACCUAAUUUUGAUGGUUAAAAGAUGAGAGUAAAUCAGUGGUGCUUUGAAUUCCAGUUCUUUUGCUGCUUGGCGACAAUGCCAGAGGUCCUUGUUCGUUGACACUCCGAUCACUAAUUUUCUUAGUGGAGGUUCCAGAGUUCAUUAUCUGUAAUGGGUUUUAUUUGUGAUGAAGUGUCAUUUUCAAAUUAAGAAGAGCUGCGCCACGGAAGAUAUCACAAUCUAUCAUUUCAUAUCCAAGAUCGAGAUCAAGAUAUCAUCAAUUGUCAUAAUUCUUGUCUCUGCAUGAUUGAAGGCUCGUCUAUGAUCAUGUUGGAAAUCAUUGCUAAGCAGCGUCGAAGAGCUAGCUAGGGCCACCAUGAAGAAAUUAACACAGGGUAUGGCUGAGCACAACAAAUCAAUGGCUAGUGCAAAAUCUGAUGAAGCAAAGGCUAGCAUU